UACGUAGGGUGCGAGCGUUGUCCAGAAUUAUUGGGCGUAAAGAGCUCGUAGGCGGUCUGUCGCGUCGGUCGUGAAAACUUGGGGCUUAACCCUGAGCUUGCGGUCGAUACGGGCAUGACUGGAGUUCGGUAGGGGAGACUGGAAUUCCUGGUGUAGCGGUGAAAUGCGCAGAUAUCAGGAGGAACACCGGUGGCGAAGGCGGGUCUCUGGGCCGAUACUGACGCUGAGGAGCGAAAGCGUGGGGAGCGAACAGG
rnacentral:rRNA from 1 species